rnacentral:tRNA from 2 species
CCUUCGAUAGCUCAGUUGGUAGAGCGGUGGACUGUAGAGGAAAUGAGUAUUCAUACAAAUAGUAGUCAUCCAUAGGUCGCUGGUUCAAAUCCGGCUCGAAGGA